rnacentral:rRNA from 1 species
AACGAACGCUGGCGGCGUGCUUAACACAUGCAAGUCGAACGCGAAAGUUUUCUUCGGAAGACGAGUAGAGUGGCGCACGGGUGAGUAACGCGUAAGUAAUCUGCCCUGGUAUCUGGGAUAACCCACCGAAAGGUGUGCUAAUACCGGAUACGCUGAGCAAUCAGGAAAGGUGGCCUCUUCAUGAAAGCUACUGUACCAGGAGGAGCUUGCGUACCAUUAGCUAGUUGGUAGGGUAAUGGCCUACCAAGGCAACGAUGGUUAGCGGGUCUGAGAGGAUGAUCCGCCACACUGGAACUGAAACACGGACCAGACUCCUACGGGAGGCAGCAGUGAGGAAUAUUGCGCAAUGGGGGAAACCCUGACGCAGCGACGCCGCGUGGAUGAUGAAGGCCUUCGGGUCGUAAAAUCCUGUCAGAUGGAAAGAAAUGUAUGGUGGCUAAUACCUGCCAUAUU